AUGAGGUUGGUUUAUUUUGG
rnacentral:miRNA from 2 species